rnacentral:rRNA from 1 species
UACGUAGGGGGCAAGCGUUGUCCGGAAUCAUUGGGCGUAAAGAGCGUGUAGGCGGCCCGGUAAGUCCGCUGUGAAAGUCCAGGGCUCAACCCUGGGAUGCCGGUGGAUACUGUCGGGCUCGAGUCCGGAAGAGGAGUGUGGAAUUCCUGGUGUAGCGGUGAAAUGCGCAGAUAUCAGGAGGAACACCAAUUGCGAAGGCAGCUCGCUGGGACGUUACUGACGCUGAGACGCGAAAGCGUGGGGAGCAAACAGG